rnacentral:rRNA from 1 species
CCGCCGGCGACCGGCGCACGGGUGAGUAACACGUAUGCAACCUGGCCGGUGACAGAUGGAUAACCGGGAGAAAUCCCGCCUAAUACAACAUAAUGCCGGGAGGGGGACCAGUCCCCUGCCGGUCAAAGGGGCGACCCCGGUCAUGGAUGGGCAUGCGGCGCAUUAGGUAGUUGGUGGGGCAACGGCCCACCAAGCCGACGAUGCGUAGGGGUUCUGAGAGGAACGGUCCCCCACAUUGGAACUGAGACACGGUCCAAACUCCUACGGAAGGCAGCAG